rnacentral:lncRNA from 1 species
UGAUUUUCCUGGUACAAAAGGCUGCUGCAUCCUCUGUGAUAAUUCCCCUUUUUUUCCCCUCCUUGUUGGCUUUGUGGUUUUGUGAUUUAUUUGUGGGCUGGCAGGCGUCCACAGCCCUGCAGGAAAUGGAUGUCUGCUCUUGUGUUUGGGGGGGCCAUAUAAACGUGUAAUUUUCCCACUACAUUAAUUACAGACGUUUCUCCCUGGCUGGAGCAGCUCCACGGUUCCUGUGCCCUUUUGGUUUGCUCUCCCCAGCUCAGGCUGAGAGUAUUUAUAGGGAACCCCAGCUCUGACAUCCUCAGCUGAGCUGGGGAAAAGUUAAAGGACUUGGCCACAAAAACUGUAGAGGGGAAACUCUAGAAUUUUUUUUACUUGAUAGUAACUCCAGGACAGCAGCAUGGCCGAGUUUUCCCUGGCUAUUCCUCCUGCUGACAUUUUUCCUCAAGGAUAAAAGCGGUUUGCCCUAAGAAAACAACCCUCUUGCUAUGGAAAAGAAAUUGUAGGGCAAUUUACUUUGGAAUAGCUGUGCUACCUAAUUCCUGGCUCCUGGAGAGAGACCCAGCUAGACUUGGAGCAAAGAAAGGAAACCCGAGGAUAAAUUCAGUGUGGUUGAAUCAGGUUUUGCUGGAAGAAAGGCUGGACAAGCUUCCCUGAGGCCCUGGCACAGGGUGCCCACAGAAGCUGUGGCUGCCCUGGAUCCCUGAAAGUGUCCAGGGCCAGGCUGGAUGGGGCUUGGAGCAUCCUGGGAUAGUGGAAGGUGUCACUGGAAUGUCAGGGGGUGGAACUGGUUGAGUUUUGAGGUCCUUUCAAACCAAACCACUCUGGGAUUCUAUGGUCUGGGCCAGCAGUGGAGUAAAAAAAUCAUAAUUUCCAGCAGAUUGAAUGUACCUAUGGUGUCCUUUGGCAUGUAAUGUGGGUUCUCCAUGGAUUCCUGAUGAAACAGGAAUGUCCUGCUAUGGUUUUCUGAAUUCUGGGAUGUCACCUCCUGUCUGGAGUCAUUGCCUGGCUGUGCUGCUGCUCUGGCUCUCCUGUGAUGCGUCUCAUCCGUUCUGGGGCCGGGAAUGUUCCACCCACAAAGUUUCUCCCAAGGGUCCCAGCAAACCUUUGAGCCCUGAAGCACUGAAGGCUGCAGCCAGACACGAAGCUCAUCCCUGAGGAUGAGGAGGGAGCUUGGAGCAGGCAGUGCAGCAAAGAGAUGCAUCAGCACCUGCUCCCAGCUGCAGGAGAAGGAAGGAGUGCUGGGAGCUCCCUCCCCACAAGUGCAGAGGUAAGAGGAGACAGGAUCUCAGAAUCUCAGAACCUUGUGAGGAUGAUGCUCCCACCCACCAUCCGUGCCAGAGUCACUGCAAGGGCUGUUCUGGAAGUUCUGCUCUGACAUGGGGCGUUUUCAAUAUCAUUUUUUUUCUCCUGAAUACCGGAGGAAUCUCUGUUUGUUGUACCCUGGAAGCCGACAGUUCUGCUCUCCCCUUUCCAAGCUCAGGGGCUUUACCAGUCCAGCCUCAGCACCUUGAGCAGCAGUAGCAGAUCUGGGGAGAUUCUCUGAGAGAGGAAAGCCCACGGUAGUGCUGAUUCAAGGGGAAAGUCCACACUUUCUGUGAGAGAAUUUCUGGGCACCAAGGAAACGGGGAGCAAGCCCAGGCUGUGGACUCUGCAUCCCUGGCCAGGUUGGAUGGGGUUGGAACCACCUGGGAUAAUGGAAGCUGUGCCUCCCCAUGGCAGGGGGUUGGACAACAUGACGGCUUAAGAUCCUUUCCAAGCUAAACUACUAAACUAUUCCAUGAUUUUAUGAUUCCCAGUUAGUCCCAAAGGUGUCCCCCCGUCCCCACGGGAAUGUGAGUUUGGCCCAGAGCCGUGGCAGGAGCUGAGGAAGCAGCAGGAUGAGUUUCCUGUAGGAUUGUACCCCUAACCUACCCCAAACCCCAGGCAUGGAGACCCCGUUGUCUGUUGUGCUGCUGCCUCCAGCUUAAUUAGGAGUUUCAAUUAUUUUUAUUUUUUAGUUUUAGCCCCCCCAACCCUUCCCCGAGUUCCUUCUAGGGGGAGAUGCAGGAAAUGAAUUCUUUUUUGGAGGGGGGGGUGGUUCUGAAGGAUUUGUUUUCAUUUUUGAGAGGGUUUUGGGGUGGGGUCUGGUUUCAUUUUUUUGUUUGUUUGUUUCUAG